AGACCCGAAACCCGGUGAUCUAGCCAUGGGCAGGUUGAAGGUUGGGUAACACUAACUGGAGGACCGAACCGACUAAUGUUGAAAAAUUAGCGGAUGACCUGUGGCUGGGGGUGAAAGGCCAAUCAAACCGGGAGAUAGCUGGUUCUCCCCGAAAGCUAUUUAGGUAGCGCCUCGUGAAUUCAUCUCCGGGGGUAGAGCACUGUUUCGGCUAGGGGGCCAUCCCGGCUUACCAACCCGAUGCAAACUGCGAAUACCGGAGAAUGUUAUCACGGGAGACACACGGCGGGUGCUAACGUCCGUCGUGAAGAGGGAAACAACCCAGACCGCCAGCUAAGGUCCCAAAGUCAUGGUUAAGUGGGAAACGAUGUGGGAAGGCCCAGACAGCCAGGAUGUUGGCUUAGAAGCAGCCAUCAUUUAAAGAAAGCGUAAUAGCUCACUGGUCGAGUCGGCCUGCGCGGAAGAUGUAACGGGGCUAAACCAUGCACCGAAGCUGCGGCAGCGAACGUAUCACCCAAGACAACUUUACGGAGUUGACGAUUGACGGAGCGAAGCGACGUCAAAGCGUUCAUUAAAGUCGAGUUGGCUUAGG
rnacentral:rRNA from 3 species